ACGGCCAUACCCUGCUGAAUAUACCCUCGUUAGAUCACCGAAGUCAACCAUCAUUGGGCGCAGUCACUACUUGGGUGGGUGACCACUUGGGAACACCGCGUGCCGUUG